rnacentral:rRNA from 1 species
UUACAUCCGAAGACCUUCUUCACACACGCGGCAUGGCUGGAUCAGGCUUUCGCCCAUUGUCCAAUAUUCCCCA